CAUCGCUCUCUAUCUCUCAAUUGCGCUUUCAAAAGUAAAAUUGAAGCAUCGAUUUCUGGCAACACAACCUGUCUUUGAAGCACCGAUUCCAAGAAUCACCGCUUCUUUACCUCCGAAAAUGUCAAAAGCAUGGGCUUAGUUCUCCGGCGACGUGAAGAUAUCUCGCCGAUCAAUGGAAUAAAUGUCUUCUUCGCUUGUAUAAACACACUAAUCUUCCACCUUCAACCGUGAAUCAUCAUCCCUAGAUCUCAAUAAAGAUGCGUUCUAGGGUUUAAACAGAGAAAUUAGGGAUCAAGAUGGAGCCAACAAAAAUAGUAGAUGGAAGUUCGUUAAGGUAAUUUGCAUAAAUCGUUUAUUUCACAUCACGAUUUUGUUUCUUUGUCUCAGAACCUAAAUGGGUUUAAGGGAUCUUGAAGAUUAUUAGAAUGUUUGAUGAAACAAUCUAUAUAAUUUGAUAUUUCUUAUUGAAAUUCUAAGGCUUUGUUUGUUGAUUGUAGCAUGGUUAAUGUUGGAUUUAUUGCAUGUACUUAUGCUGUCAGUAUCACUAUGCCCUCAUUCUUCUUCUUAUGGUUAAAGGCAUUGGGUAUUGAUAAUAUCUUAGGGUUUGAUUGGCUGCAUCACCAUCAUCUGAAUCAAUGGUCAAAGCUCUUCAAGUAUUGUAUUCACUUGGAGUUCUUGAUGAUGAUGCAAAACUUACUUCGCCAGUAGGAUUUCAAGUUGCGGAGCUACCAUUGGUAUAUUAAUCUUAAUCUUUUAUAUCCUCCAUUUAUUUAUCUGAAAAACACAUUAUUCAUUAAAAUUAUUCACACAAACUAUGCACCGUAAAAUUGUUGGUUUUAGGAUCCCAUGAUCUCAAAAAUGAUCAUAGCAUCAGAUCAACUUGGAUGUUCUGAAGAAAUAAUAAUUCUCUCUGCCGUCCUCUCAUCAAUAUGGAUAUCCGUUAAGGGGCAGAGAGAACUCGAUGAGGCCAAAGUGAGAUUUGUCACAGCCAAGGUGUGUUAUAAUGGAAGCAGGCUUUUUCCCAUUGACAAGCUCAAUAUCGUGCAGCCCACACCCGGGUGGUGGAGGAGUCUGAGAAUUAGAUGAGGCGGCACAAAUUUGCUGAUAUGUAUGACUCCUUUGGUUCUUUCUAAAUGUGCGAAUUAGGCGGGUUGAAACGGUAUUUUCUUCUUCUAAAGCUUUAAGUUUUUUUUUUAUAAAUAUUACUUUAUCAAAUAUGAUCGUCAUAAUCAUAUUAUACAAUACUAUGCUAUUUUAUUUUAUUUUAUUAAAGUGAUUAAAGAUUUAUGUCAAGGUGACAAAAUGAACGGGUCAGGUCGGGUAACAUGUCAAAAUGUGUUAAAGUUGAAACGUGUAAUUUUAUAGUGAGGGCCAAAAUGCGUUUAGGUUGAAACAAAUAAUUUUAUAUCAUUUGCAGGUGUUAUGUAGAAGGUAUAAUAUCAUUUGCAGGUGAAGCAACUUAAUUGCUUUCCUAAAAAGUUGAUGAUUGUUUCAUUUGUCAAAUGCAUACAUCUAUAUUUCUAUAAAUUAAGGUGUUUGAGAUGGGAAAAUAGCAACGAGAAGGUAUACUAAUUAGUUGUGAUUUCACGCUUCCCCAUGAUUUAUACAUUGCAGUACUACUUACUAUUACUAAUCAACUUGAAGAUCUUUUUUCUCCAUUCUUAAGUUCUAAUAAAUAAUAAGUGAUUCAAAUAUUAUAGGAAAAAUAUAGUUAAUUUUCAAACAACCCAUCAAAUUUAAUUUGUUAUAUGCUAUAGGUUUUGUAAGCUCAAAUGGCGUUUAUUAGGCCAUAUGUUAUGGGGUGCCGUUGAGGCGAGGGCUUGGGGCAAAUUACGGGAGUUAGGAAGGAGAAAAAGAAGGAACCAUGUGGGCGUCGUUGGAAGACGGGAGCGUGGAACCAUAACAUAGAGGCGUUGUUGGAGCGUGGAGCACCUAUUCGUUUGAUUAACUCAAAAUAUAUUAUUAAUUUUCAUGUUUUUUUAUUUACUUAAUAGGGAUACAUCAAAAUAUCCGGUGGAAACUCCCCUAGAGCUCCAACAUUCUUGUCAUGUAAAUGAAUAUCUGAUAACAUUUAUUCAUGAAUCAUAAGUUCAUAAUUUUGUAUUGUUAUUCUUAAUUUCAUUAUUAUUUUAAAGACAUCAAAAGAUGGUAUAUAAUCUUUUAUUUUUGUUGA